rnacentral:lncRNA from 1 species
AAGAGGAAGAGAAAAUUCAAGAUAGUACAGAUUCCUGAAUACCAGGAGAGGCUGACCUUGAACACCAAGACUCAAGCAAUCCUCCUGCCUCAGCCUUCCAAGUAGCUGGGAUUACAGUGUGGAUGGAAAUUCAUGGGAUGAAAGGGGUUCUGGGGAAGAGGACUGAAUUGUCUACCCAUGCCAAUAACAAGCUGCAGAGCACUGACCAAGUUAUUAUCUUCAACUCUCUCAAAGGGUGAAGAGAGAGAAGCAACAUUGGGUCAACUGGCUUUUUUUAAUCCCUUUCCCUUCUUCAGUUGUGGGCUGGAGAGGGAUGUAAU